rnacentral:rRNA from 1 species
GAUGAACGCUGGCGGCGUGCCUAACACAUGCAAGUCGAACGAGAUGCGUAUUGGAAAGCUUCGGCCGGAAGAUGCGUUAUCUAGUGGCGGACGGGUGAGUAACACGUGGGUAACCUGCCUUAUGGAGGGGGAUAACAGAGAGAAAUCACUGCUAAUACCGCAUAAGCACACAUUGCCGCAUGGCAGAGUGUGAAAAGAUUUAUCGCCAUAAGAUGGACCCGCGUCUGAUUAGCCAGUUGGCAGGGUAAAAGCCUACCAAAGCAACGAUCAGUAGCCGAUCUGAGAGGAUGACCGGCCACAUUGGGACUGAGACACGGCCCAAACUCCUACGGGAGGCAGCAGUGGGGAAUAUUGCACAAUGGGGGAAACCCUGAUGCAGCGACGCCGCGUGAGUGAAGAAGUAUUUCGGUAUGUAAAGCUCUAUCAGCAGGGAAGAUAAUGACGGUACCUGACUAAGAAGCCCCGGCUAACUACGUG